CGGUGGAGGCCGAGGAGAGAGAUCUGGUUCAUCGCGACUGGAAACUCCAGCUGCCCCAUCCCAUGAGCCAGGCGCGGGCGGACUCACGGGCGGAGAAUCACGGCUUCGCUUCACGCUACGCCCGCUUUCCCUCGCUGCUAAACUGCUCCCAGACGCCGGCUCUCCGCCACCAUCGUCUGUCGGCUGUCCUCCCCACAACAUCGAGCGCCGGCUCUCCGUGCAACAUCUCCUGCCCGGAUAUCUCCCAGUGGCUGCGCUGUGACCCAGAACAUCAGACCCAGACAGAGAGAAGGUGCGGAGCCACGAGAAGACCCAAGCCAUCACUGCCCACCUCCAGUCUGGUGGCACCCCGAGUGACACUAUGCAAGAGGAGAGGUCUACCCGCCCCAGGGCCAACAAACG